rnacentral:rRNA from 1 species
UACGGAGGGGGCUAGCGUUGUUCGGAAUGACUGGGCGUAAAGCGCGCGUAGGCGGAUCGGAAAGUUGGGGGUGAAAUCCCGGGGCUCAACCCUGGAAUGGCCUUCAAAACUCCCGGUCUUGAGUUCGAGAGAGGUGAGUGGAAUUCCGAGUGUAGAGGUGAAAUUCGUAGAUAUUCGGAGGAACACCAGUGGCGAAGGCGGCUCACUGGCUCGAUACUGACGCUGAGGUGCGAAAGCGUGGGGAGCAAACAGGAUUAGAUACCCCGGUAGUCC